rnacentral:rRNA from 1 species
UACAGAGGUCUCAAGCGUUGUUCGGAUUCAUUGGGCGUAAAGGGUGUGUAGGUGGCGCGCUAAGUCGGGUGUGAAAUUUCGGAGCUUAACUCCGAAACUGCAUUCGAUACUGGCAUGCUUGAGGACUGGAGAGGAGACUGGAAUUCAUGGUGUAGCAGUGAAAUGCGUAGAGAUCAUGAGGAACACCAGCGGCGAAGGCGGCGCUCUGGGCCGGUACUGACGCUGAGGAGCGAAAGCGUGGGUAGCAAACAGG